rnacentral:misc_RNA from 1 species
AAGUCGUAACAAGGUUUCCGUAGGUGAACCUGCGGAAGGAUCAUUACAUUCAGUAGCCUAGCUACUUGUUUACACCCUUGUUUUUUUGCGCACUUAAUUGUAUCCCUCGGCGGGCUUGCUCGCCGGUUGGACAACAUUGAUAACCUUUUUUAAUCUUCAAUCAGCGUCUGAAUUAUACAUAAUAAUUACAACUUUCAACAACGGAUCUCUUGGUUCUG